CACCGACGCCGAAGACUCCCUUCCUCCUCUGACGGUGGACCUGAUCGGAGGCUGACAGAGGUGCUGGCUGGUUGUAGGUUUCCUUUUCCCGAGCCUAGACUUGAUCUUCUGUCACGUCUCUGGAGAUCGACAAGGAUUUGGAUGCGAGUAUAAGUAGAACAUGGGUGGCUGCAGUAUGGUGGGAGAUUUUUGGAUAAACUU